UACGGAGGGUGCAAGCGUUAUCCGGAAUCAUUGGGUUUAAAGGGUCCGCAGGCGGACGUAUAAGUCAGUGGUGAAGCCUACAGCUCAACUGUAGAACUGCCAUUGAUACUGUACGUCUUGAAUUCGGUCGAAGUGGGCGGAAUAUGACAUGUAGCGGUGAAAUGCUUAGAUAUGUCAUAGAACACCGAUAGCGAAGGCAGCUCACUAGGCCUGGAUUGACGCUCAUGGACGAAAGCGUGGGGAGCAAACAGG
rnacentral:rRNA from 1 species